rnacentral:rRNA from 1 species
AACGAACGUUAGCGGCGCGCUUAACACAUGCAAGUCGAGCGAGAAAGGGCUUCGGCCCCAGUACAGCGGCGCACGGGUGAGUAACACGUGGGUAAUCUACCCCUGAGUGGUGGAUAACCCUCCGAAAGGAGGGCUAAUACAGCAUAAGACCACGGCGUCCUCGGAUGUCGCGGCCAAAGCGGGCCUCUUCAUGAAAGCUCGUGCUCGGGGAUGAGCCCGCGGCCCAUCAGCUUGUUGGCGAGGUAAAAGCUCACCAAGGCAAAGACGGGUAGCUGGUCUGAGAGGAUGAACAGCCACACUGGAACUGAGACACGGUCCAGACUCCUACGGGAGGCAGCAGUGGGGAAUCUUGCGCAAUGGGCGAAAGCCUGACGCAGCGACGCCGCGUGAGUGAUGAAGGCCCUCGGGUCGUAAAGCUCUGUGGGGGAGGAAAGAAUAAGGGUAGGUUAAUAUCCUGCCUGAUGACGGUACCUCCUUAGCAAGCACCGGCUAACU